rnacentral:tRNA from 1 species
AUAUAUGUUAGUGUAUAAGCACAAGAAGUUUUGAUCUUCUAAGAUAAGGUGAAAUUCCCUACCAUAUAUU